GAUGAACGCUGGCGGCGUGCCUAAUACAUGCAAGUCGAGCGAACGGACGAGAAGCUUGCUUUUCUGAUGUUAGCGGCGGACGGGUGAGUAACACGUGGAUAACCUACCUAUAAGACUGGGAUAACUUCGGGAAACCGGAGCUAAUACCGGAUAAUAUUUUGAACCGCAUGGUUCAAAAGUGAAAGACGGUCUUGCUGUCACUUAUAGAUGGAUCCGCGCUGCAUUAGCUAGUUGGUAAGGUAACGGCUUACCAAGGCAACGAUGCAUAGCCGACCUGAGAGGGUGACCGGCCACAUUGGAACUGGAACACGUUCCAACCCCCAAGGGGGGGCAGCAGGAGGGAAUUUCCCGCAAGGGGCGAAAGCCUAAGGGACCAACGCCCGGGGAGUGAUGAGGUCUUUGGGAUCGAAAAACUUUUUUAUUGGGGAAGAAAAAUUGUUAAAAUAACUGUGCCAAUUUUGCCGGUACCAAAACAAAAAGCCCCGGCUAACUCCGU
rnacentral:rRNA from 1 species